rnacentral:tRNA from 1 species
AUUUAUAUAGUUUAAAUAAAACAUUACAUUUUCAUUGUAAAAAUAAAAUUAUUAUUUUUAUAGAUA